GAUGAACGCUGGCGGCGUGCCUAAUACAUGCAAGUCGAGCGAACAGACGAGGAGCUUGCUCCUCUGACGUUAGCGGCGGACGGGUGAGUAACACGUGGAUAACCUACCUAUAAGACUGGGAUAACUUCGGGAAGCCGGAGCUAAUACCGGAUAAUAUAUUGAACCGCAUGGUUCAAUAGUGAAAGACGGUUUUGCUGUCACUUAUAGAUGGAUCCGCGCCGCAUUGGCUAGUUGGUAAGGUAACGGCUUACCAAGGCAACGAUGCGUAGCCGACCUGAGAGGGUGAUCGGCCACACUGGAACUGAGACACGGUCCAGACUCCUACGGGAGGCAGCAGUAGGGAAUCUUCCGCAAUGGGCGAAAGCUUGACGGAGCAACGCCGCGUGAGUGAUGAAGGUCUUCGGAUCGUAAAACUCUGUUAUUAGGGAAGAACAAAUGUGUAAGUAACUAUGCACGUCUUGACGGUACCUAAUCAGAAAGCCACGGCUAACUACGUG
rnacentral:rRNA from 1 species